UACGUAGGGGGCUAGCGUUGUCCGGAAUCACUGGGCGUAAAGGGCGCGCAGGCGGAAAUGCAAGUCAGAUGUAAAAGGCAGUAGCUUAACUACUGUAAGCCUUUGAAACUGCAUAUCUUGAGAAGAGGAGAGGUAGGUGGAAUUUCUAGUGUAGCGGUGGAAUGCGUAGAUAUUAGAAAGAAUACCGGUGGCGUAGGCGACUUACUGGGCUCAUUCUGACGCUGAGGAACGAAAGCGUGGGUAGCAAACAGG
rnacentral:rRNA from 1 species